AGGGAAGUCGAUGUAGUUGUAUUGUUAUUCUUUUUUAAUGUUUUUGAAAUAAUGUAUAUUGUAGAUUGAUAUGAGAUAUUUGGAAGAUCAUAUAAUAAAACAAACUGCAGUGCUUGUUUCGAAAAUAAUUAGGUUCAAAAUUUAAAUUUUGGUAGCUUCAAUUAAUUUCCUGCUAAUUUUAAGAUUAUCUAAUUUUAUCAAUGAAAGAGUCUCUUGUGAAUAUGCUUCUUUUAUUUAAACUCUGAAAAUAUGUUUGCCCAAAUGUCGACUCAUAUUGUAAAUUUGAAAUUCAAAGUUUUAAGUCAAUGCUAUUGUGACUACUCCUUUCACAUGUCUAGAUAUCAUUUUCGUACGUUUCGUCAAUUUUAAUGACGUCUCCCACCAAUAUCCAGAUGCAGUUCAUAAUAAUAAUUCUGACAAAUCAAAUAUUUGUUUUCGGUUUCAUUAACCAUCAAUGGGUUAUUAUGAGGAUUGAAUAAUUGUCCAAAUUUUUUGCCCGGUAAGGAGUUACAGAUAUAACAAUUUCAUCAAAGAAAAAAAACUGUCAGCAACGAGACAUUAAACGUAAAUUAUCGCGUUUAGAGUUAUCUCCCCCUGAAACUCCCCUUAAUUAAUUCCUUUGAAUGAUGCUACAUAAAAUAAACAAAUAACACCAGGUAAGCUAAUAUUUAGUUCCCAAAUUUGUCUAGUUAAAACAUGUAUUUUGAGAUAACGAAUAGAAAAAUAAGUUGAACAAUUUACCGAUCUUUACAAAUAGAACAUACUUUAUUUGCGAAGCUGUUUAAACAACGCCCAUCUAGAUCAAAUUGAUACACUUAAAAUAUAACUAUAUCUACUGAUCAUAUAGUUGUAACAUUUAUUUGUGUUAAUUGAUGUCGUUUGAAAACUGAUGAUAAAUGAUAUUUUAUUGAACGAAUUUAAACUUAUCCAUCGAAUAGCCUGCAUUAGCAAUGGUUUGCUGCUUCGUAUGAACAGACGACAUCUUUUUUCGCAGAGGUGUUGCCCACAUUUGAAUUACACUUCGAAAUACGCAGGGGACAAGUUAAACUUAACCGAGCGUUGAAUGUAAAUUUUCUGAAAAUUAGGGAAUCACAUUUUAAGUUGCAUUUUUAGAAUUUUCCCAAAAAUAAGCAAAGGGACUUAUACUUUUUAUGUAUUUAAUAAGUAUUUCUAAUGCAAAAGAGAGACACUGUAAAGAGAGAUGUCGUUGCCGUGACUUUUAGGCUGAUUGAUACAAAUAAUGAUGGGCACAUUGAUGGUAAUGAGUAUGCCUCAUAUUAUGCAAAUAAAAACAUACCUGGACUGGACUACAGCAGGACUCGAUGGAGACAGUUGUUCUACUUAGCCAUGCCUCAAAUUGACACAAACGGGAAUGAAAAGCUAGAAAUUGGCGAAUUCCGUUCGUUAGCAGAACGUGCAAUGAGAUAUUAGAGGGUAUUAGAAGCAAAAUGUGACGACAUUCCACCCGUUAUUAAAGUGAAAUUUACUUAAAAGUCCGAUUCCAAAUUUACUAUUUUCAGUUCCGACUUUAAACAAAAUUUGUGUUUGUUUUUCACAAUUGCUUAACGCGUCAUUUGUUCCUUUUAAACGGAAGCUACACUUCCCAAAUAAAAAAAAUCAAUGUGAAAUUUGCCUUUUUAUUUUCGCGUUUCAGAAUCUAAAGCCUGCUUACAUUUUUUUUAAGUUGCUUAUCAUUUGUUCUCUGGUGAAUAAUUGCCUCGCUGGCAAUCAUACAAGAUCUUUUUUUUUAAUUUUUAUACUAACAAAAUUUAAAAAGUGUUAACCAAAACGUUGGUAUUUGUUGACGGUGUGUGUCUUUAUCAAAUAAAGUACAAGCAAAUUA